CCCAUCUAUGAUUGGUUAAGGCGGACAAAGCUGAGACGUGCACUUUUAGUGUAUUAUAACUCAGACCUUUAGAAAGUCCAGACUGUAGGAACUCCAAAAUAUCCGUGGAAGAGGGAUUCUGCAGAUCAAUGUUUUUAGGAAGAGCCCAGGCGGAAAAAACUUCCCACACUCUAUAAUAAGUGGCUGAAGUGGAAUGCUUACGUGCCUUCAGCAUAGUUUCUAUUACGGCCUGGGAGAAUCCUUUGUUCACAAGCCUGUUCCUUUCAGUCUCCAUGCCAUGACAUUUAGUGAGACCGGGUUUGGAUGCAACACUGGGCCCUGGAACAGUAGAUCCGGAGUUC